rnacentral:tRNA from 1 species
CUGUGGAAUAGCUUAUUAUUAAAGUUUGAGAUCUUACUCUUAGGAUGUGUGUUGACACUUUGCAGG